rnacentral:lncRNA from 1 species
CCUGUGGAUACGAUAAAACCUUUAACCGGGUAAAAGCUACAACGGUAUCUGUGUGCUUGAGGAUUUAUCUGUGUGCGCAUAAAUACCAUAGUACACUCUAGUGCCAUGCUGGGGAUGACAACCUAGUAUUCAAGUGGUGUUAGCAAGUGUCAACACUGACGGCUUUCCAAGUGUGCAGCUUGGAAAAGAAUAUCUUCGGCAUCGGCUGGAAUUUGGCCGCGAAGAGCCUUGAAUAGAGCUUUGGCUGGAUCGGAAUCGUCAACCAAUUGAGCAGUGUCUUGGUGUAACAGGGCCAACAGGUCCUCCAGUUUGGCUCUGAUUUCUACCGAUGAGAUCCCUAUUGCUUGAGAGGAGCUUGCUUCCUCGCCCUCAUCAUCGGAAAUCUCGAUGGCGAAGGAAAACAAGCUAUCCGGGGAGUCUUGUUCCUGAAAGAAAAAUAAGAUAAGUUAUUUGAUGAUCAGAUAUUAGUGAUAUAAAGAAUGGAAAUCAGAUAACUUACUUGCUUCAAAGCUAUUUCACGCCUCUGGCUGGUUGAUGUCGCUGGUACCAUAGGUUGAUCGGCUGGUGUUGCCGAUGGAACAAUGUCAACUGAGAAAUAAUAAGGAUAAUUAUAAUUUGAAAAAAUAAAUCCAUCGGUGAUAAUUUUAUGGACAGUACUUUACCUUGAGGGGGUGCGGUGCUUGUCUGUUCUGAAGAGACUACCGAUGAUACGAUUGGAUCCGCUGGAUCGGCAGUCUGCUCAAGCACAUCGGCUGAUGUUUCUUGUGGCUGAGGUGCUAGUUGAGGAGGAGAUGGUGCUUGCUGUGUCUGGAUUUCUGGUGAAGAGGGGGACAAUUCCACCUGAAUCGGCGACACUAGACGAGGAGAAGGAGGCAGUGCUGUCUUCUGGCGUUUUGGUUGUGAUUUAGUGCUCUUGGGGCCUUUUCUCUUGAUUUGACUGGACUGGGGGGCAUCGGCACUUGUUUUGGUACUUCUGGUCUUCGCCAAUUUGCCAGUUUGCUGUUACAAUAAGCAAGGUUUCAUGAGUUCAAAUAUGAAAGAAUGUUGAUGAAAAUCUUGUUAAAAGAUAAAAGUUACCGACGAGGUUCCCAUAGCAGCCGAUGUAUCCUGAAAAGAUUGUGUAAGUAUAGAAUGUAAUCGGUAUAAAUUGAGGAAAUCAAAGAUUUACCUUGAAAGCUUGUGCCAAGGUAGCAGCGGUGACCGUUGGAGAUGUCUUUGAUCGCCUAGUGGUUAUCUUCUUAAAACGCACAUUCCGGUGCAUUAGAGCUGCCAGGCUUGGUGCGUUGUUGUCGAUCAGAGAAAUCGGGCCUGAUGGAAGGAGCCCGAUCGGCUUUCCACUCCUGCUGAUUGUUGGUGGUGGGUUGUCAACCUGUUCAGAAAAGAGAAAGUGAGUUACCGAUAAGGGUAAAAGUAACAAAAGAAUUGAGGUAUCGGUUGAAGACUUACGAUGUUUUCGAGGACCUUAUACUUGGGGUCGAUCAUGCCGCGGUAUGUCAGAGCCGAUGUGCAGAACAGAUGUUCUUUCCACUCUUCCCACCACUGUUUAUAUGCUUGAGUGAUGAAGAGAGCCGGGAUCCAAGCCGAUAGAUCAAUAUCUGACGUAUCGGCAUUUGGUGGAAGCUGGGCUAUCCUGAUCCAUUCAAGACCGCUGGUUAUGGUUUCCCUUGGUUUCACCACAUCGGCAUUACUCAGUCCAAUCGGCAGCUGCCCAAACACCAGUUGACGAGCCAGUGCCGAUGGGUUGUAGAACUCAUAGGUGGGGUUGGAAGUUUUCCCACCGCUAAAGAUAUUCACUGGUAUAGCUCUCAGAGUAAUAAUUGCCAUCAUCAGAUCAUGGUCCUUGUUGAGGGCAUCAUCAAAAGGGUGGAAAGUGAGCGGGAAUCUAGUUUCUGGGUCCUCAUAAGGCAUCCAUGCCCGCUGAUAUUUGGCAAGACCCUCAUAGAGGGUUUGGAAGAAUCGGCUGACCUGGUCUUCGUUGCCACCAGUACCGGGUAAAACUAUGGCAGCCUCACCAUAGUUUAAAGGUGGACGAGUUGCCGAUUCUUCAUCGGCCAAUUCAUGAUCCUCGGCGAUAUCUCUUGGAAAGCGCUGUGCGAAGAGGUCAAAUCCAAGGCGUUUGUGCAUGUGAACGCUGAGCCACAUGUUGAUGAACCACCAAGGUCCUCCUAAGUUGCCAAUGGGUUGGCCCAACAAAAGCUUCUUGGUUACUUGAUGAAGGAGGUGAUAAACAGAGCCUAACAAAUAUCGGCCAAGGGGGAAACGACCACCGUUGGCUAAUUUCUCAGCUGCCGAUAGAUAAACAGAAGUUGGACCUGCUGAUCGGCCGCAAAAUAUAAAUUUAUCAAGCCACAUAUUCAGAAAGAUGGCAUGUUCCCUUUGCCCAACUGAUCCUGUUUUUCGGUACUUCUGAAUGUACCCUGACCAACCGCCGAUGCUGCGAGUUUCCAUCUUAGAGCUAGGCUUACUAUCGAACAGGUGGCUAUCAUUGGCAGUUGCUAUUUCCAGGCCAGUGAGCAUAAGUACAUCGGCAAGGGUAGGAGAAGCAGGGCCAUGGCCGAAUACGAAAGCAUUAAGGGUGUCUGACCAGAAGUACGAAGCUGCUAUCAAUAGUGAUUCGUUUCUUUCCAUAUCGGCAAUGGAUAGCCUAAUGCACUGGUCCAGUUUGCGCUCACCCCAUUGAACCUCAUUCGAGUUGCCGACUCUCAGGAACCAAUCUUUCCACCCCUUGGUAGAACUGGGCCAGGAACGAAAAGUGUCUUUCCACAGAUCUAAAGAGAAAUUCUCAGCUCUAAAGGGGAUCCUAUUUGUCUCUGCAUUUAUCAAAUCGGUAGGAUGUGGGUUUCCCAAUGGACCAAGGCAUUGGAAGUGGGGUUGAUCGGUGGGAAUACAAUUUUCUCGGCCAACUCCUAAAGGUUUGAAGGUUGGAAAGACAGGGGAAAGGAAGAGAGAAAAUACCAAGUAAAUAAUUGUGCGAAAGAUCAAGAAUAUGGUAAAAAGAAGAAAGGGGGUGUUGAGUUGACCUCAGGGACGACGAAGUUGAUGGCCAUUUCUUCCUGAGAGGGGGAAGGGAUCGAAGACUUGGAAGAUUGUUGGAGGAGAUCCUUGCCAGAGUUCUUGAAGUUCUCGAACAAGUGCCGCUGCCAGGAAGGAGGGUUUGAGGCUAUAGAAUGACAAGAUGGAGGAAGAGUACCAGAGAAGGAAGUAUUUAUAGGGUAAAGUGAGCAGGGCAAAUCUGACUUAUCUCUUCACCGUAUUCGUGAAAUCCGAGGGUGUUCAGGUGGAUAUGGUAACUAUUCGCAUGAUAAUCAAGGGAUUGCGCAGGUGAUUUGACAGUAAGCGGUCAUGAUUUUGGAGAUAUCUUACUGUGCAAGAUCUCCUGGUCGACUCAUCGGCAGUUUUCUCUAACAGAAAUGUUGCCGAUGAACGUGUACUAGGGAGGUUCAGUUUGAAAAGUUGGGGAUUCGAGGUACGUGCUGGAAGACCGGGCUGAGGUUGUUUAGAUUUGGUAAUUAAUUACUGAUAGGAAGGAGUAAUUGCGGAAAGGCAACAUUUUUGGAGAGAAUUUCGAAGCAUUAAUGAUUUUAUACUCCGAAAUUGGGGGGCAUGUGUUGACACCGUUUUUGGACACGUAUCUUUGGACGCGUAUCUGGAGUCAAUGAGGUAUAGAUCGGUAGGCAGAAAAGUGGUGACUAGUCUACAGAGGAGUUGCCGAUGAGAGUUGGUGCCGAUGAGAAAACGGCAAGAUAUGGCCAAGUCCAGAAGUGGUGAUGGAUUCGUGCCGAUGACUGGUGCUGAUGGCUGCCGAUGGCCAUGGGGAGUGGUUUGCCAAUGGUCAUGGAGAAAGGCACAGGAGUUGUUGAUCGAAUCACGGUGGUGUACCGAUCGGUUGUGGAUGAUGAUUUAAUACUUUCCAUAGUUAUUAGAGUUUGCUUUGCAUACGGAUUCUGUUUAAUUUGGAAUUCGAGUCUUAGUCGUGUCUGGUUGUAACCCUUUUGUGCAGGGUAUAAAUAUAAGACCCUAUAGCGACGUAAGAAAAACCACAAUCAAUUAAACACAAGUUUUUACAUCUAUUCCAGCAUCUACUUUUUCGACGACUUCGUCAAUUUGCAUAUUUUCCUUUUACUAUGAGUUCUUUAGAAUUCUUCGAGUCAACCUCGGCGAGUUCUCGAGUUCCGUGUGAAUACCUCUUGGCCAUGACAUCUAGGCGCAUCGCUGUUGUCGGGACCAAAGUAUUCGAGUUAUCACCUUUAUCGAUUGUAAGAUCAAAUCGGCUGGCACGCCUCAACGUUGAAUCGGGUAUUAGCCCUUUGUGUUUGCAGAUCCACUUUUGCAUCAAAAGAGGCCAAGUCCCGGGUUAGGUAACUGGAUCCUGCCAUUAGUGUAAAGCAUGUAUAGCCCGUCAUGUUCCCUUUUUAGCAAAUACGCAUGAGAGAAGUGUGCAUAACCAAUAUAAGUUAUAUGGUUCUGAAUGUACUCAAAGUAUGCACCCUAUAUCAAAUUUAAUCUAGUAGCAAUACGAGUGAUCAAAGAUGUACAAGUAAUUUCUCCUAUCAAACUCGGUACGCUCAACCAAUGCUCAACCAUGAGACGCACUGGAGAGACCUGUCUCUUCUUGACAACCACAUAUAUCAACUGUAAAUCUCCAACUCUAACUUUGCGGAUGUCAUCUCUAGGGAAGAAAACAAUGCCUAUCUAUUUGUGUAAAAAUCUAAGUGUAGGGUGCUCGAUCUCACUAACUCUUGGUUGAUAGAAAAAUGUGUCUCUAGAAAGCUCUUGCCAAAACUGAUGUCAGUUGAAGUCUUCUAGUGCAACAUCUAAGUCUGUGGUAGCCGUUGGUGGAAAACCUAGGAGGUUGCUAAGCUCUCUCUAAGUGAGUGUAAAAGAUUGUUUGAAGAGCCUAAAGGCAACACCUAACUCAGUCAUUUGCAGGGUGCAAAGAAAUUCUAUCGUAAGCAGCUUUGACCCAUUCUCAGUAAUAUCCCAGAAAUUUCCCUAUCCCACUAAGUUGAAAAUCAUAUCGAGAUCUCUAACCAUACCGGCCUCUUGUAAAAGUUGAAAAUCAAAUGCUUGAGUAUGGCCGAAUGGUUUACCUUUCAAUUUCUUGUAGACGUUCUUUUCGCGCUCAUUUCUUAGUCCUAGCUCGGCUAGCUUGGUGAGGACUCGUCGUCGGGGCGUCGAAGGAGAUGCGGAGUCUUGUGAAAGUGGCGGGUCGUCGAUGCUCAUCUCGGACAUGGCUCUUGAAGAACUCCGCGUCGUCCUUCCUGAUCCUAGCAUCAAGGUCGCACCGGUGGCGGCCUUCAUCCACUUGCUCAUCCUAAAAACAACUUGCAACAAACAAAACUUGUGAAGAGGAUUAGAGGUUGGUUAGUGGGUGGUGUUGACGGUCCUUAAGUACUAAAUAUAAUCAUCAAAUAAAUAAAGAAAAGGAUCCAAAUGCAACCAACACCCAGAAUUUGGGUUUUAUCUAACAGAAUUCCACGAGUUUUGUUAUUUGUCUAUUUCUGCAGGGGGUUAUCCGGAAUUAUGGAAGAAAGGCCCACACGUCGGGUUUACUUAGAGAUAUUAACGUGCCGCGCAAUUUUCUAUCAUCUAGAAGACUCCAGAAGCCACAGGAACGAACGGGAAGGUGAUCGGGCCCGGGGCAGGGCGCCCACCCUCCCCCCUUGGGCGCCCGCCUAGCUACAGAGUCCAACCAGGACUCGUUUCGCAGAUUACGCUCCACCGACCUAAAGGAUCAAGAAUAAUCGUUCAAUCAAUGUCGGUUUGAUCCGACGGCCCAGAUUCACUUGAGGGGACUAUAUAAGCAGACCCCCUGGCCCCUGGAGGAGGCACCCCCUUAAUCCUUAUUCAUUAUUCAUAGACAGUGCAAAAGCUAGGGUUUGGAGAUGAGUGCUCUCCUCUCUUCUCUAAACUAGAGUAGAUCUAGAUAGUAGCGAGAUGGAGAGCGAGGGAGGAUUAGAGGAGAGGCCGGCCUGUCGGUUCUUCCUCCGGUUGUACUUCGCCAUGAUCAAGCUCUAAUCAAGCUUGCUCAUGGGAUGACUCUGGUAAUCUACUUCUAAUUCAUUAUGCAAUUACUAAUCAUGUAUGUUCUGGUUCACAACUCUUUUAAGUACUUUAAUCUAUAGGAUGCUAUAGGUGAGAGUUGUAGUAUAAGUGUAAGCGUGGUGCUUAGACCUAGAUUACUUGUGGAUAUCCCCUGUCUAGCUGGAUCGUGUGGUAGGCUGCGUAGGUGAUAGUUACGUUGGUCCCCUGUAGUCCACCUCUUGUUAGCAGGACGGGUAGGGUUUAUCGGCCUAUGGAUAAGCAUCCUUUGUGGUGUAUUCUUAUCACGUGGUUCGUCCCAGACAUAGACAUAUCUCUUUGAAGUAGAGAAACCAUAGUUAUCCUCUCUAUUCUCCUACCAUCGCCCAUAUACUAGAAUUGCUCUACUCUCUAUUCCCAUAUUAUCACCCAUUGUUAUCUUACCUUUAAUAUUGUUCUUAUUCAAUUCUACCAUCUUUCCUAUUCACACCUAUCUAUCUAUCUAUCUUGGUUAAGUUAGAGCGUAGUUGGUUCUCCCAUUUCCCUUGUGUGUACGAUAAAACCUUUAACCGGGUAAAAACUACAACGGUAUCCGUGCGCUUGCGGAUUUAUCUGUGUGCGUAUAAAUACCAUAGUACACUCUAGUGCCAUGCUGGGGAUGACAACCUAGUAUUCAAGUGGUGUUAGCAAGUGUCAACAAGCAUUUUUGGCGCCGUUGCCGGGGAGACGGUUGUUGAGUUGACUACGAACUAGCUUAAUCAUUUUAUAAAAAAUAAUAAAAAAAUAUUUUCCUUUUAUCCUUUGCCUCAUCUCUGCUAUUCUUUCUUAUCUAAUCAUUAAUUUCUGGUCUAUCAUGAAUGCAAACAUGUCUAUCUACGAAUUUCAUAGACCUACAGGUACACAUCUCGAACCACUAAAAUCUUCAAAGCCUAUCAUAGCAUCUAGUUUUGAGAUAGACCCCGAAUACAUAGAAUUUGUUCAAAAACAACCUUUCUCAGGAGAAG